rnacentral:rRNA from 1 species
ACUAUCGUUAACUGAAUACAUAGGUUAACGAGGCGAACCGGGGGAACUGAAACAUCUAAGUACCCCGAGGAAAAGAAAUCAACCGAGAUUCCCCCAGUAGCGGCGAGCGAACGGGGAGCAGCCCAGAGUCUGAAUCAGCUUGUGUGUUAGUGGAACGGUCUGGAAAGUCCGACGGUACAGGGUGAUAGUCCCGUACACCAAAAUGCACAGGCUGUGAACUCGAAGAGUAGGGCGGGACACGUGGUAUCCUGUCUGAAUAUGGGGGGACCAUCCUCCAAGGCUAAAUACUCCUGACUGACCGAUAGUGAACCAGUACCGUGAGGGAAAGGCGAAAAGAACCCCGGCGAGGGGAGUGAAAAAGAACCUGAAACCGUGUACGUACAAGCAGUGGGAGCACCUUCGGGUGUGACUGCGUACCUUUUGUAUAAUGGGUCAGCGACUUAUAUUCUGUAGCAAGGUUAACCGUAUAGGGGAGCCGCAGGGAAACCGAGUCUUAACUGGGCGUUAAGUUGCAGGGUAUAGACCCGAAACCCGGUGAUCUAGCCAUGGGCAGGUUGAAGGUUGGGUAACACUAACUGGAGGACCGAACCGACUAAUGUUGAAAAAUUAGCGGAUGACUUGUGGCUGGGGGUGAAAGGCCAAUCAAACCGGGAGAUAGCUGGUUCUCCCCGAAAGCUAUUUAGGUAGCGCCUCGUGAAUUCAUCUUCGGGGGUAGAGCACUGUUUCGGCUAGGGGGUCAUCCCGACUUACCAACCCGAUGCAAACUACGAAUACCGAAGAAUGUUAUCACGGGAGACACACGGCGGGUGCUAACGUCCGUCGUGAAGAGGGAAACAACCCAGACCGCCAGCUAAGGUCCCAAAGUCAUGGUUAAGUGGGAAACGAUGUGGGAAGGCACAGACAGCCAGGAUGUUGGCUUAGAAGCAGCCAUCAUUUAAAGAAAGCGUAAUAGCUCACUGGUCGAGUCGGCCUGCGCGGAAGAUGUAACGGGGCUAAACUGUGCACCGAAGCUGCGGCAGCGACACUAUGUGUUGUUGGGUAGGGGAGCGUUCUGUAAGCCUGCGAAGGUGGCCUGUGAGGGGUGCUGGAGGUAUCAGAAGUGCGAAUGCUGACAUAAGUAACGAUAAAGCGGGUGAAAAGCCCGCUCGCCGGAAGACCAAGGGUUCCUGUCCAACGUUAAUCGGGGCAGGGUGAGUCGACCCCUAAGGCGAGGCCGAAAGGCGUAGUCGAUGGGAAACAGGUUAAUAUUCCUGUACUUGGUGUUACUGCGAAGGGGGGACGGAGAAGGCUAUGUUAGCCGGGCGACGGUUGUCCCGGUUUAAGCAUGUAGGCUGGUUAUCCAGGCAAAUCCGGAUAAUCAAGGCUGAGGUGUGAUGACGAGGCACUACGGUGCUGAAGUAACAAAUGCCCUGCUUCCAGGAAAAGCCUCUAAGCAUCAGGUAACAUUAAAUCGUACCCCAAACCGACACAGGUGGUCAGGUAGAGAAUACCAAGGCGCUUGAGAGAACUCGGGUGAAGGAACUAGGCAAAAUGGUGCCGUAACUUCGGGAGAAGGCACGCUGGUGUGUAGGUGAAGUCCCUGCGGAUGGAGCUGAGACCAGUCGAAGAUACCAGCUGGCUGCAACUGUUUAUUAAAAACACAGCACUGUGCAAACACGAAAGUGGACGUAUACGGUGUGACGCCUGCCCGGUGCCGGAAGGUUAAUUGAUGGGGUUAUCCGUAAGGAGAAGCUCUUGAUCGAAGCCCCGGUAAACGGCGGCCGUAACUAUAACGGUCCUAAGGUAGCGAAAUUCCUUGUCGGGUAAGUUCCGACCUGCACGAAUGGCGUAAUGAUGGCCAGGCUGUCUCCACCCGAGACUCAGUGAAAUUGAACUCGCUGUGAAGAUGCAGUGUACCCGCGGCAAGACGGAAAGACCCCGUGAACCUUUACUAUAGCUUGACACUGAACAUUGAGCCUUGAUGUGUAGGAUAGGUGGGAGGCUUUGAAGCGUGGACGCCAGUCUGCGUGGAGCCAACCUUGAAAUACCACCCUUUAAUGUUUGAUGUUCUAACGUUGGCCCCUUACCGGGGUUGCGGACAGUGUCUGGUGGGUAGUUUGACUGGGGCGGUCUCCUCCCAAAGCGUAACGGAGGAGCACGAAGGUUAGCUAAUCCUGGUCGGACAUCAGGAGGUUAGUGCAAUGGCAUAAGCUAGCUUGACUGCGAGCGUGACGGCGCGAGCAGGUGCGAAAGCAGGUCAUAGUGAUCCGGUGGUUCUGAAUGGAAGGGCCAUCGCUCAACGGAUAAAAGGUACUCCGGGGAUAACAGGCUGAUACCGCCCAAGAGUUCAUAUCGACGGCGGUGUUUGGCACCUCGAUGUCGGCUCAUCACAUCCUGGGGCUGAAGUAGGUCCCAAGGGUAUGGCUGUUCGCCAUUUAAAGUGGUACGCGAGCUGGGUUUAGAACGUCGUGAGACAGUUCGGUCCCUAUCUGCCGUGGGCGCUGGAGAAUUGAGGGGGGCUGCUCCUAGUACGAGAGGACCGGAGUGGACGCAUCACUGGUGUUCGGGUUGUCAUGCCAAUGGCACUGCCCGGUAGCUAAAUGCGGAAGAGAUAAGUGCUGAAAGCAUCUAAGCACGAAACUUGCCCCGAGAUGAGUUCU